rnacentral:misc_RNA from 1 species
GUGUUGUUUUCAACGCAGAGAUUGUCCAGGCGCCGGAUCUGAGACAGUACUUAUCACAUCGGUACGACUGGGUCUCAGCCGGUCAGCUCAUGGGUGGAACAUUGACAUUGGUGCGGAGCCGAACGGCUCGAACUUAGUACGCCUGCUUGCAGGAAGGAACAGUUCGGACCGGGGAGCCUCGCACAUGCACGCUGUUGGGUCCUGAGGGACCGGACCUCAUCGCUGUGUCUUCAAGACGCUGAGAUGAGAACCGAAUCCUCUGGACCUUUUUUGGUCGGCCAUAACUGGGCCGGCGGAAAAGGUACCGCCCGUACUUUGAGAACUACACAGUGGACGCGAGCAUCUUAGAUUCGGACCUUCGGGUUCGGAUCACAAAAGAUGAUCAUAGUACUUUCGAGUACUGAUUAGAUCAUUGGUCAAUCUGCUCACUUCGGUGAGCCGAUCGAUUCAAACUCAUGUGAU